CAUUACUACAACAAGGUUUUCUUGGUUUUGAGUGACUAGCCUUCUACAGGGGAGGAUUCCAGCUAUAGGUCUCCCGUUAUGGCAAUAAAGAAAAGAAAAAGAACUUUGCAAUUCAUCAACACACAGUUUGGAUCCGCAUCAGCCAUGGACACAUGAACGAUAUGCAAGGCCCAGGGGGCCAGGACAAGGAGCAGACUGACUGAACUCAAAUAUUAAGGGAGGUACAUCAAAGAGUAAUGAAAGGACAAGAGGACCAGCGAACUCUAGCUACACGUCAAAAGAAUGCAACUCCAAGGAGCGACCAGCAGAUGGACGACCGAGAGGACCAGAUGUGAUGAAAGCAUCACAGGGGGAAUGGGAUCCUUCUCCAAUUGAAUUAGAUAAGUCAAACACUACAUACUACAACAGGAUUGGAAUAAUAUGAAUAUUAUUUUCUAUGAUAAGUUGAUAUUUGCUGAUACGAACACUAAUUGUGGUUUUUCUGUCUUACUCAUUUUGAGGGGAUGGAUUGUAAAGACCUGUGACCCCAGGCAUAAGACUGCAAGCCUUCGACUUCCGCCUGAAAAAUACUAAAGGCGGGAACCGCUGAUCCUGUGUUCAUGUCUUUAAAAGCCAAGGACAGAGCCCUGAAGUGAAAGAACUAUAUUUUUGAUUUUUUUCAACAGGAAAGAAGACAACACAUCGAUUAUUCUUGUAUUCUGUAAAUAUAAACCUGAUGAUUGUAACAUGCCGUUGCUUUGCAUUAUAACCUGUAUUACUGUUUUAUUAUUUCACAUUGUAAACCAUCCAUAGCAGGCUGUUUAGAGGAGUACUGACUGACUGACUUCUGACUGACUUUUAUUAUUAAUUAUGAUACUUAGUAAUGGUUAGUUAAUGGUUUAAUUUAAAGGUUUGUAUCCCCCAACUUCCAUCCAUAUCAGGCUGUGUCCGUAACGUUAAUAUUUCGGGGUUUUUUUUCACUUAAACUUCACACACAUGUAAGUGCACUUAGUCGCGUAGUAUUCACAUCACCAUGUAACAUCACAAAGUAUUUCAUCUGCAAUGAACUACAGGGGGGAAUGUAGUAGCAGUUUGAUUGUCUUAUAUCAGAAAUCAGAAUAUAUCCUACAACAUGGCCCUAUACUUACUUAGCAACAAAACAGUACAUCUUCAAGUAUGAGUCUUAGCAAUAAUAAAGUCUCUAAUGCUGUAGAAUAUAAAUAUCUGGCUGGCUUGCCAAAUAUGGAAGCAGUUGUACUGCGUUGUUUAGUCCUGUUUCUGACCUUAUGCCCACUUAGCAACACAGAGAAUGCAACAUGUAAACACAGAGCAAGCAGGCUGGAAGUCACGUACAAGUCUUGGCAAAAACAGGGUCUUUAAGGCCCACUCGCACGCAAUCGGGUCACAGGACAAGAACUUCCAGGAAGUUCUUCAGAGCGUCCAGUCGUGCACGUGCAUCCACACAGUGCAUUGGGGAGCCUAUAAAAGGCCGCCCACAAUGGAUUGAAGGUGGGGAAAAAUUACAGAUGUGAGGACAUAGCGCUGAAUGUAUGAAGUGUUUAAGACAGCUGUAUGAAUUCGGUUUUGUAAAUAAAUGUUUCCCCCCUCCGGAUGACA